rnacentral:rRNA from 1 species
GUCUAUGGACACACCACCCUGAAUGCGUCUGAUCUCGUCUGAUCUUGGAAGCUAAACAGGAUCAGGCCUGGUUAGUACUUGAAUGGGAGAAUGUAUAAAAA